rnacentral:pre_miRNA from 1 species
AGGCACCCUUCUGGGGCAAGACUUGCUUCAGUGGGGCUUUGGUGCUCACUGAGUCUGCCCCCUGAGUGUGUCCCU